AGUGAACGCUGGCGGCAGGCCUAACACAUGCAAGUCGAGCGGAUGAAGGGAGCUUGCUCCUGGAUUCAGCGGCGGACGGGUGAGUAAUGCCUAGGAAUCUGCCUGGUAGUGGGGGAUAACGUCCGGAAACGGGCGCUAAUACCGCAUACGUCCUGAGGGAGAAAGUGGGGGAUCUUCGGACCUCACGCUAUCAGAUGAGCCUAGGUCGGAUUAGCUAGUUGGUGGGGUAAAGGCCUACCAAGGCGACGAUCCGUAACUGGUCUGAGAGGAUGAUCAGUCACACUGGAACUGAGACACGGUCCAGACUCCUACGGGAGGCAGCAGUGGGGAAUAUUGGACAAUGGGCGAAAGCCUGAUCCAGCCAUGCCGCGUGUGUGAAGAAGGUCUUCGGAUUGUAAAGCACUUUAAGUUGGGAGGAAGGGCGAGUAAGUUAAUACCUUGCUGUUUUGACGUUACCAACAGAAUAAGCA
rnacentral:rRNA from 1 species